rnacentral:rRNA from 1 species
ACGCUCGACACCUACGGGAGGCAGCAGGUGGGGAAUAUUGCACAAGUGGAGGAAACUCUGAUGCAGCGAUGCCGCGUGAGGGAAGAAGGUUUUCGGAUUGUAAACCUCUGUCUUUGGGGACGAUAAUGACGGUACCCAAGGAGGAAGCUCCGGCUAACUACGUGCCAGCAGCCGCGGUAAUCUGAGCGGGCUGGCAAGGC